GCGAGACCCACAAAUAAAGGGGAGCGCUGGGGUUGCGGCGGGACUAGGAGCGCGGCGGGGCCGGCGGCAGAGCUGUCCGGCUGCGCGGUGGCCCGGGGGGCCCGGGCGGCAGGGCAAGCAGCGCGGCCUCGGCCUAUGCGACCGGUGGUGCCGGCCCGGCUUCUGCCUGGAGAGGAUUCAAGAUGACCAACGAAGAACCUCUUCCCAAGAAGGUAUGGGUUUUGGUUUUGGGUUUUUUUGUUUUGUUUUGGGUUUUUUUUUUUUAAGCAGUUUUAAGCACUUUUAAAAAUAUAGACUUGAAGGGAUUAUCAUUGUUUGCUUAUUUUUCAUUUCUUUGCCUUUAUAACAAUAAUAGCAUUGGAGUUGUACAGUGUGCCAGAUUUUGUAUCUUAUAUCCAGUAUAUUUUUAGAAUAUUUUCAGAUUUUGGAAAACUUUAGUUAUAAUAGUAUUCCCAUGGUCUACUCUGAAUGUUCAUUAUGUGAAUAUUUCCAGGUGCAUGUAUACAAAUAAUGUCACAAAUGGACAUUAUGAGUAUAUUAUUCUUCUUUUCCUAGUGUAAAUCCCUUUGAUUGUCAUUAAAAACUACUUUAUUUAAAAAAAU
rnacentral:sRNA from 1 species